rnacentral:rRNA from 1 species
GUGUCAGCAGCCGCGGUAAUACGGAAGGGGCAAGCGUUGUUCGGAAUCAUUGGGCGUAAAGGGCGCGUAGGUGGUUCUGUAUGUCUACUGUGAAAGCAUACAGCUCAACUGUAUAGUGUCGGUAGAAACUGCAGGACUUGAGGCUGGGAGGGGCUGGUGGAAUUCCCUGUGUAGCGGUGAAAUGCGUAGAGAUGGGGGAGAACACUCGUGGCGAAGGCGGCCAGCUAGACCAGUUCUGACACUGAGGCGCGACAGCGUGGGGAGCAAACAGGAUUAGAUACCCUGGUAGUCCACGCUGUAAACGAUGGGCACUAGGUGCCGGCGGUCUUGAUCCCGUCGGUGCCGGCGCUAACGCAGUAAGUGCCCCGCCUGGGGAGUACGGUCGCAAGGCUGAA